AGGAGUUCCAAAUAUUUCCAUUCACACCAUGCCGCUCUCUGACAGCGGUGCUGCAACAGGUUUCUCAAGAUGAACUGAACGGUGUAAAUCUGGGUGUGUUGGGUAAUUCAUAAAGAAAAAUCUGAAGCAACCAUGAACAGACACUUCCUUGGAAGAGUCCCAUAAGCCAGAGCAGGUAAAACGUAGAGCAAGAGCUCCUGAGGUCCUUUCCUCAUGGUUUGUUUUGGCCAUAAACAGCUACAGCCCCUGGCAAGCCUGCAGAUCCUGUCUACAGACCAGCAUUCUGGGCUCCGGAUCAUCCUCCUUAGGAUCUCUUAUCACACUUUGGAACACAUAUCCCCCAGGUAAGUCCACAACAGGUGGGGAUAAAGUAAUACAACUGCAGCACUUUUCCUUCAGGUGAGGAAGUGACUUUGAGCUGUCUCACUGAAGAGUUUCUUGUUCUCAAAAGCAGCAGGAGAGCAGGCGGCAGGAGCCGGUGUGAUGGGCUCAAUGAGCAGCGGGAGAGCAGGCUGUGAUGGGCUCAACGCUGCCUGGCAAAACGUCAAAGCUGUGUCGCUUCGGUGGAACAUUUAAGAACACAUCAGCCAAAGUUUCUUUAACAACUAUUCACCUUCUUCUCUGGACUUCGCUGAAACACAGCCAGGUGUCUCAGCUUAUUGAGCUGUAAACAUCUCCGCUAAGAUUUCUCUUCCACAAGAGAAUUACAUGUGUUAUCUCAAGCAGCGUUCGUGCCACACUGCCAGCAGAAUAUAACAAUUUUAUGAAAUAAUUACUUUUAGCUCAUCUCUGACAAAGGCUCCUGUUCUGUGGACAGGCACAGAGCAGGUUCCACUGCCAGGCAGCGCUUGACUGGGGGACGGGGACCGCAGCACCUCUUUUCUUUAAGCGGCUUUCAGAACCGAGGUGGUGACCAGAGGACAAUUCCCACACAAUUGUUCCUGCCCAUCCAUGGACCCUGUUGUUAUGAGGUAGGUGGCCCACAGGUCCCACAUGAGGGGGAACACCAGCCUACACUUGAAACCCCCCCUCAGUCUUCUGUGCUUCUGGGCCAGCUCUAAAACAGCUGGUCAGCAUUUGCAAUUCCUUUUAAGAUGGGUCUGCAAUGCUAAUCCCACAUGCUAAUCGCCCUUAUUAAAGACUUACAUAAAUUAAGCUGACAAAACAAGUUAAUUGCUGCUCCUCCCUGCAGUUGUUAGCAGCUCCAUACAGUUAUCCUGACACUGCACAACCAACCCUAAAAUCUAUGAGUGAGUUUAGCGAGGCAGCUUUUUGGAAUGUGGUCAGACUUGGCACAUUAAUUAACAUAAGUACUUUUUGUGAGAGUUUUGCCUGAUGCCAAGAAAGAAAUUAUGUCGUUAAAUUCAUGAGAGCUGGGCUGUCAGGGUGGAACUAUUCCCGGGUAACAAACACAGGGACUCACGACGUCCCCGCUCCGAAGUGGCUUGUGUGGUACCAAGAGGGAAGCGCUCAGGCCUCGGCCCCUGCUGGAGCAGAACUCCCUUCUCCUGCCUUUUCCCCUUCACAAGGAAGCUUCGAUUCCUCCACGUGCUCCUGGACCUCCUAAGCCGAGCUGUGACGUUGGAAUAGGGAUGUUUAUGAGAUGCGUCUGUGGGGCUAGAAGACUGGUCCUGCAGGUAUAACCCCAAACCUCAAGCAACCCAGGGAUCCAACAGUACCAGGUGGUUUGGUGGGGGCAGAGAACCAGGGGCUGCUGCCGUGGCCCAGCCCUCUCAGGGCUCUCCCUCUUGCCACAGCCUUCACAAAAGCAGCACAAAUUCAUCACCAGAAGCAGCAGCCGAUGAAGAACAAUUUGUGUGCCGGCAGACACACCAGAGCUGGGGAAAAAGUUGUGUUGGUUUUGUCGGCUGUGGGGAAGAAAUGUCAAGCCUGGCGCUAGAGCUGACUGGAAACUGGGCUGCUGAGAACUAUUUUGUUGUUGUUUAAAAACGUGAAUUGGUCACUGACAUUUAAUGCGGAGAACAAAAUUAAUGCAGAGAACAAACCAACCUUGCAAAGCCCACCCUGGUGAAACGGAGAAAUAAACUUAACAGCAGAGUCAAUUAUACUGUUAAGCAUCAUUCUUUAUUUUAUCAGCACCGGGGAUCAUCCUCCAUUAGUGCUCCAAACACUGGAUGCUCUUGCGUUGCUUAUAUUCACAUAAUUAUUACAUACGUGUUACAAUUUUUGAAAAUUUUGACAUAAGUCAAUACUAAGAAAUAAUUGUUUGUGUUA